rnacentral:rRNA from 1 species
AUUGAACGCUGGCGGCAUGCCUUACACAUGCAAGUCGAACGGCAGCGCGGGGCAACCUGGCGGCGAGUGGCGAACGGGUGAGUAAUAUAUCGGAACGUACCCUGGAGUGGGGGAUAACGUAGCGAAAGUUACGCUAAUACCGCAUACGAUCUAUGGAUGAAAGCAGGGGACCGCAAGGCCUUGUGCUCCUGGAGCGGCCGAUAUCUGAUUAGCUAGUUGGUGGGGUAAAGGCGUACCAAGGCAUCGAUCAGUAGCUGGUCUGAGAGGACGACCAGCCGCACUGGAACUGAGACACGGUCCAGACUCCUACGGGAGGCAGCAGUGGGGAAUUUUGGACAAUGGGCGCAAGCCUGAUCCAGCAAUGCCGCGUGAGUGAAGAAGGCCUUCGGGUUGUAAAGCUCUUUUGUCAGGGAAGAAACGGUGGGGGCUAAUAUCCUUCACUAAUGACGGUACCGGAAGAAGAAGCACCGGCUAACUCUGUGCCAGCCGCCGCGGUAAGAC